rnacentral:rRNA from 1 species
UACGGGGGGGGCAAGCGUUGUUCGGAAUUACUGGGCGUAAAGGGCCAGUAGGCGGCCAACUAAGUCGGAUGUGAAAUCCCCAGGCUUAACCUGGGAACUGCAUCCGAUACUGGAUGGCUUGAAUUCGGGAGAGGGAUGCAGAAUUCCAGGUGUAGCGGUGAAAUGCGCAGAUAUCAGGAGGAACACCGGUGGCGAAGGCGGGUCUCUGGGCAACUACUGACGCUGAGGAGCGAAAGCGUGGGGAGCGAACAGG